UAUUAUUGAAUAUUUAAAGUUAAUUGCUUGAGUAGUAAUAGUUAUGAUCUUGAAACUCAAAGAAUUUGGCGGUAUUUUAGUCCUUUCAGAGGAAUCUGUUCUGUAAUUGAUAUUACACGAUUUAAUUUACUUGAUUUAGUUGUCAGUUUAUAUACCGCCGUCGUAAGAUUAUCUUGUAGAGGGUAUAAAAUUUCGUUACAUUUGAUUGGAUUUUAUGUCAGGUCAAGGUGUAGCUUAUAAUCAAGAAGAAAUGGAUUACAUUAAAUUUAUUUAUAUGGAUAUUAAUUUGAAAAAGGUGGUUGAAAGUGGAUUUGAUUGUAAAUUAAUCUAAAAUAUUUUAUUGAUUAUGGCUCUAGAAUGUGUACAUAUCGCCCGUCGCUCUCGUUUUAAGAUGAG
rnacentral:rRNA from 1 species